GAUGAAGAACGCAGCGAAAUGCGAUACGUAAUGAGAAUUGCAGAAUUCAGUGAAUCAUCGAAUCUUUGAACGCAUAUUGCGCUCUCUGGUAUUCCGGAGAGCAUGCUUGUUUGAGUAUCAGUAAACACCUCAACUUCCAUAUCUUUUUUGAAAUGGGAGUUGGACUUGAGUGAUCCCAACGCUUUUCCUCACCGAAAAGUGGCGGGUUACUUGAAAUGCAGGUGCAGCUGGACUUUUCUCUGAGCUAUAAGCAUAUCUAUUUAGUCUGCCUAAAAAACAGAUUAUUACCUUUGCUGCAGCUAACAUAAAGGAGAUUAGUUCUUGUGCUGACUGAUGCAGGAUUCACAAAGACAGGCUUCGGCCGACUUUGUAAACUCGAUCUCAAAUCAAGUAAGACUACCCGCUGAACUUAAGCAUAUCAAUAAGCGGAGGA
rnacentral:misc_RNA from 1 species